AAAUGCAAGAAGGGGGGAAUGAUC
rnacentral:siRNA from 1 species